UACGAAGGGGGCUAGCGUUGUUCGGAAUUACUGGGCGUAAAGCGUGCGCAGGCGGCUUCUCAAGUCAGGGGUGAAAGCCCAGAGCUCAACUCUGGAAUUGCCUUUGAGACUGAGUGGCUUGAGUACGAGAGAGGUGAGUGGAAUUCCCAGUGUAGAGGUGAAAUGCGCAGAUAUCAGGAAGAACACCCGUGGCGAAAGCGGCUCGCUGGAACGGUACUGACGCUGAGACGCGAAAGCGUGGGGAGCGAACAGG
rnacentral:rRNA from 1 species